AUCACUACAUUGUCUUUCUAACCUGCUAUGGUACAAAGUCUAUCCUUUUUAUCACCACAUUGUCUUUCUAACAUGCUAUGGUACAAAAUCUACCCAAAUAAUUAUCCUCCUAACCUGCUACCAUACGAAACGCCUUGGGCCGCCUAGUCUACGCCUAGGCAGGCAAGGCGCUAGGCAGAGGGUCACCGCCCGCCUAUCGCCUAGCGCUUUUUCCAACCUUGGUUUAUGGUACCCCUUUUUCUUAUGUUCACAUGUACAAGCAACUUCACAACAAAAUUUAUAUGUGUGGUUUGUUUUGCCUUCUUUGAUUUUGCUACGGAGUGGAGCAUGGAGGAGGGCUCUGGGUGACGGCGGCGCAUGACAAAGUGCUCUGGAUUGUGGCGGGGAAGGAGCGAAGGAACUGUGCAUUCGGGAAUGUCGUGACCGCCGAUCCUAUCUGUUGGUAUACUGUCUGAUAGGUGCCACAACGGCCUUGUAGCUUUAGAUUUACAAAUUGCUAAGGAGCGGAGCAUGGAGGAGGGCUCUGAGUCGUGAUGGGGCAUGGCGGAGGGCUCUGGGUUGUGGCGGGAAAGGACCGGAGGAACUGUGCAUCCGGGGAUGGCGUGACCGCCGUAUCCGUUACACUGCUGCCUGACAGGUCACAUGAUCACCAAGGCAUGUGAUAGCAUCUUCAGGCCCAACUCUCACUCUGCUGUCGCCCAUUCAGCGCCCUCGCCGAGGCUAGGGGUGGAUGGUUCUCUGAUGUUGGCACAACUGGAGACAGCAAGAAGCAGAUGGAGGGAGGGCUAUCAUGUUGAAGAAGACACCGACACCCCGACAACGGAAAUGCGGUUUCUCGGAGCUAGCGGGAAGGAGGCCGAUGGCUUCCCGUUGUAGUAACGCGAUGCUGAAGCAACAACACACCAGGUGGUUAGCACUCAGCAAACUAUUAGUAUUCUGUUGGUACCUCGUUUUUCUCAAGCUCUGAAGACAUGCACAAGAAUAGGUUAGAGUGCAGCUUUCAGAUAAUUUUCUUCCCUCGGGAUAUUUGAAGACUGUUUGUUACCCAUCAAGUUCAGAAAAACCAAGGGUAUCAUAUGAAUUGGAUUACGUAAAAGACAAAGAGAUAAAAGGAAGCUACACCGGUUGUUUCUUUGGCAAUUACAAAUCAGCAUCCAUCAUCUACAGACACCAGAGGAAUAUGUUGUUGGAGAAGGUGCAGCGUUGCGGUGAGCAGCAGGUUGUGUCGUCGUGGUGGUCACCCUCGGCUACGAUGGUGUGCAGUCCUUGGCACCGGGAAUCGGCCUGGGAUGUCAUGGAGGGGAGAGGAGGGGGCGUGGCGCUGAGAGCAAGGUGCGAGCUAAAUGAUGUGGCGUCGAGGGGAGGCGACAAGAAGAAGCCGUGGUAGGCAGAGCACGCCAGGAAAUUGAGAUGUGAGUGUGACCGUUGCAUCGUGCGAUGAGUGAGAGGGUGAAUUUUUUUUUAAGGUAAGAAGAGAAGGAUCGGUUGUUUGCUUUCAAGGGAAAAUCGGUUGUUUGCU